rnacentral:rRNA from 1 species
AGCGAACGCUGGCGGCAGGCCUAACACAUGCAAGUCGAACGAACUCUUCGGAGUUAGUGGCGGACGGGUGAGUAACACGUGGGAACGUGCCUUUUGGUUCGGAAUAACUCAGGGAAACUUGUGCUAAUACCGAAUGUGCCCUUCGGGGGAAAGAUUUAUCGCCAUUAGAGCGGCCCGCGUCUGAUUAGCUAGUUGGUGAGGUAACGGCUCACCAAGGCGACGAUCAGUAGCUGGUCUGAGAGGAUGACCAGCCACACUGGGACUGAGACACGGCCCAGACUCGUACGGGAGGAAGAAGUGGGGAAUCUUGCGCAAUGGGCGAAAGCCUGACGCAGCCAUGACGCGUGAAUGAUGAAGGUCUUAGGAUUGUAAAAUUCUUUCGCCGGGGACGAUAGUGACGGUACCCGGAGAAGAAGCCCCGGCUAACUUCGUG